CAGAGAGCCGUUUGAGUCAGCCAAACCUAACAUAGUCGGUUGCAGAUCUGGGAGUGUGGUGGGAGGUGGCGCAGGGAUUUCAGAGGGCAGGAUGGUCAACGGCGAGGUCAAGUUCAGGGCCGGCGGACACCGGCCGAUGAAGGAUCGACGGUGCAAGGUGCUCAAAGACGUCUUAGGGUGGCAAUGCCCCCUUACUAUUGACGAACUGAAAACUCAGCAUGAUGAGAAAUGUGAAUAAUCUGGAUUUCUGAAAAGACAUUCUGACAACUGUCUUUGUUUAGAAAGUUGACAUUUUCAUCAGAGGUGCCUCCUGGAAAAUCCAUUACAGAUUCCCAAACUGCUGAUUACACACGACCUGAGCAGAAUUCUAAGGGUGGGUGACAGAGUGCUUUAGGUCAAAAGGAGGUCACACCUAAUGUCUCGAGCUAAAGUGAAUUUAUCUAGAAAGAAGGGGGGGAAAAGUUUCAUAAUCUGGAAUUUGAGGGGUACUGGGAAAAAUAAUAGAAUUUCUGAGAUAGUCUUAAGAAAGAAAUGGUGGCUGAAAUAAGAAAGAAUGCAAAAUGA